rnacentral:rRNA from 1 species
UACGGAGGGUGCAAGCGUUAUCCGGAUUCACUGGGUUUAAAGGGUGCGUAGGUGGGUUGGUAAGUCAGUGGUGAAAUCUCCAGGCUUAACUUGGAAACUGCCAUUGAUACUAUCAAUCUUGAAUACCGUGGAGGUCAGCGGAAUAUGUCAUGUAGCGGUGAAAUGCUUAGAUAUGACAUAGAACACCAAUUGCGAAGGCAGCUGGCUACACAUAUAUUGACACUGAGGCACGAAAGCGUGGGGAUCAAACAGG